rnacentral:rRNA from 1 species
UUAAUGAGAGUUUGAUCCUGGCUCAGGACGAACGCUGGCGGCGUGCCUAAUACAUGCAAGUAGAACGCUGAAGAGAGGAGCUUGCUCUUCUUGGAUGAGUUGCGAACGGGUGAGUAACGCGUAGGUAACCUGCCUUGUAGCGGGGGAUAACUAUUGGAAACGAUAGCUAAUACCGCAUAACAAUGGAUGACACAUGUCAUUUAUUUGAAAGGGGCAAUUGUUCCACUACAAGAUGGACCUGCGUUGUAUUAGCUAGUAGGUGAGGUAAUGGCUCACCUAGGCGACGAUACAUAGCCGACCUGAGAGGGUGAUCGGCCACACUGGGACUGAGACACGGCCCAGACUCCUACGGGAGGCAGCAGUAGGGAAUCUUCGGCAAUGGGGGCAACCCUGACCGAGCAACGCCGCGUGAGUGAAGAAGGUUUUCGGAUCGUAAAGCUCUGUUGUAAGUCAAGAACGGGUGUGAGAGUGGAAAGUUCACACUGUGACGGUAGCUUACCAGAAAGGGACGGCUAACUACGUGCCAGCAGCCGCGGUAAUACGUAGGUCCCGAGCGUUGUCCGGAUUUAUUGGGCGUAAAGCGAGCGCAGGCGGUUUGAUAAGUCUGAAGUUAAAGGCUGUGGCUCAACCAUAGUUCGCUUUGGAAACUGUCAAACUUGAGUGCAGAAGGGGAGAGUGGAAUUCCAUGUGUAGCGGUGAAAUGCGUAGAUAUAUGGAGGAACACCGGUGGCGAAAGCGGCUCUCUGGUCUGUAACUGACGCUGAGGCUCGAAAGCGUGGGGAGCGAACAGGAUUAGAUACCCUGGUAGUCCACGCCGUAAACGAUGAGUGCUAGGUGUUGGAUCCUUUCCGGGAUUCAGUGCCGCAGCUAACGCAUUAAGCACUCCGCCUGGGGAGUACGACCGCAAGGUUGAAACUCAAAGGAAUUGACGGGGGCCCGCACAAGCGGUGGAGCAUGUGGUUUAAUUCGAAGCAACGCGAAGAACCUUACCAGGUCUUGACAUCCCGAUGCUAUUUCUAGAGAUAGAAAGUUACUUCGGUACAUCGGUGACAGGUGGUGCAUGGUUGUCGUCAGCUCGUGUCGUGAGAUGUUGGGUUAAGUCCCGCAACGAGCGCAACCCCUAUUGUUAGUUGCCAUCAUUCAGUUGGGCACUCUAGCGAGACUGCCGGUAAUAAACCGGAGGAAGGUGGGGAUGACGUCAAAUCAUCAUGCCCCUUAUGACCUGGGCUACACACGUGCUACAAUGGUUGGUACAACGAGUUGCGAGUCGGUGACGGCGAGCUAAUCUCUUAAAGCCAAUCUCAGUUCGGAUUGUAGGCUGCAACUCGCCUACAUGAAGUCGGAAUCGCUAGUAAUCGCGGAUCAGCACGCCGCGGUGAAUACGUUCCCGGGCCUUGUACACACCGCCCGUCACACCACGAGAGUUUGUAACACCCGAAGUCGGUGAGGUAACCUUUUGGAGCCAGCCGCCUAAGGUGGGACAGAUGAUUGGGGUGAAGUCGUAACAAGGUAGCCGUAUCGGAAGGUGCGGCUGGAUCACCUCCUUUCUAAGGAA